GCGCCUAUGGCGUAAUGGAUAAGGCGUUUGACUUCUAAUUAAGCGAUUGUGGGUUUGAGUCCCAUUGGGCAUG
rfam:Ipomoea nil DNA, scaffold: scaffold1286, cultivar: Tokyo-kokei standard.